AGAGGGAAAGCAGCGACAAUGGAGAAUCCUUGUUUGGAAAUCCUUGUUUCCUUGUUUGGAAAGAGACUGUGGUUUCCUGGAGAGGGCUUGCUUUUACUGUAGGUUUGUUUAAAAGUUCGACAUCUAUUCUGGAAGUUCUGGAGAUCAAGUCCAGGCAAGCAAUCUACCACUGAGCCAUGUCCACACCCUUCAGAUAUUUUCUACUGGGUAUCUUUCCAGAUACUUUCUUAUUGAAGAAGUUGGGGAAGUAGAAUGGUGAAUACAGAGAGAAAUGAAGACAUGUUUGUAGAAUAAAAGAUGAUCAGGAAGAACUGUUCUGUAUCCAGAGUUAACAUUUUUUGUUGUCAAUAAACAUUUAUUGCAUUGUU